CUACGUGCCAGCAGCCGCGGUAAUACGUAGGUCCCGAGCGUUGUCCGGAUUUAUUGGGCGUAAAGCGAGCGCAGGCGGUUAGAUAAGUCUGAAGUUAAAGGCUGUGGCUUAACCAUAGUACGCUUUGGAAACUGUUUAACUUGAGUGCAAGAGGGGAGAGUGGAAUUCCAUGUGUAGCGGUGAAAUGCGUAGAUAUAUGGAGGAACACCGGUGGCGAAAGCGGCUCUCUGGCUUGUAACUGACGCUGAGGCUCGAAAGCGUGGGGAGCAAACAGGAUUAGAUACCCUGGUAGUCCACGCCGUAAACGAUGAGUGCUAGGUGUUAGACCCUUUCCGGGGUUUAGUGCCGCAGCUAACGCAUUAAGCACUCCGCCUGGGGAGUACGACCGCAAGGUUGAAACUCAAAUGAAUUGACGGGGGCCCGCACAAGCGGUGGAGCAUGUGGUUUAAUUCGAUGCAACGCGAAGAACCUUACCUACUCUUGACAUCCAGA
rnacentral:rRNA from 1 species